AGCAGCUUAUAAGGACGGUCGAUUGAAACGUGGAGACGUCCUUCUAGCUGUUAACGAUGCAUCUUUAAGGGACGUAACGUCUGUAAAUUCGGUCAAAUUACUUCGUGAAGCUUGCUCUCCCGUACGUCUUUUAAUACUCAGGGAAAAUCCUCAGACUCUAUUUACGACUUUAAGUGAUCCUUCGAAAUUUAUAACAGUAGAAUUAAGGAAAGGUAGUAUUAAGGACCAACUUGGUGUUAGUAUCGUGCAGAGAACGUGAG